GAAUUCGCCCUUAGAGUUUGCUUCUGGCUCAGGACGAACGCUGGCGGCGUGCCUAACACAUGCAAGUCGAGCGAUGAAAUUUUUUCGGAAAUGGAAUAGCGGCGGACGGGUGAGUAACGCGUGAACAAUCUGCCCUGUACAAAGGAAUAGCCUCGGGAAACCGGGAUUAAAACCCUAUGACACUUAAGUACCGCAUGGUAGAUAAGUCAAAUAUUAAUAGGUAUGGGAUGAGUUCGCGUCUGAUUAGCUGGUUGGUGAGGUAAAGGCCCACCAAGGCGACGAUCAGUAGCCGGCCUGAGUGGGUGAACGGCCACACUGGAACUGAGACACGGUCCAGACUCCUACGGGAGGCAGCAGUGGGGAAUAUUGCACAAUGGAGGGAACUCUGAUGCAGCGACGCCGCGUGAGUGAAGAAGGUCUUCGGAUCGUAAAACUCUGUCCUUAGUGAAGAAAAGGACUGUAGCCAAGGAGGAAGCCCCGGCUAACUACGUGCCAGCAGCCGCGGUAAUACGUAGGGGGCGAGCGUUGUCCGGAUUUACUGGGCGUAAAGGGUGAGUAGGCGGUAAUAUAUGUCAGGUGUAAAAGGUCAUGGCUUAACCAUGGUUAGCACUUGAAACUGUAUGACUUGAGUGCAGGAGAGGUAAGCGGAAUUCCUAGUGUAGCGGUGAAAUGCGUAGAUAUUAGGAGGAACACCAGUGGCGAAGGCGGCUUACUGGACUGUAACUGACGCUGAGUCACGAAAGCGUGGGUAGCAAAAAGGAUUAGAUACCCUGGUAGUCCACGCUGUAAACGGAUGAGUGUUAGGUGUUGGGUAGCGAUACUCAGUGCCGAAGUAAAACACAAUAAGCACUCCGCCUGGGGAGUACGUACGCAAGUAUAAAACUCAAAGGAAUUGACGGGGACCCGCACAAGCAGCGGAGCAUGUGGUUUAAUUCGAAGCAACGCGAAGAACCUUACCAAGGCUUGACAUCCCCUUGACCGGUGCAGAGAUGUACCCACUUCUUCGGAAGCAAGGGAGACAGGUGGUGCAUGGUUGUCGUCAGCUCGCGUCGUGAGAUGUUGGGUUAAGUCCCGCAACGAGCGCAACCCUUAUCCUUAGUUGCCAUCAAGUUAAGUUGGGCACUCUAAGGAGACUGCCGGUGAUAAACCGGAGGAAGGUGGGGAUGACGUCAAGUCUUCAUGGCCCUUAUGUCCGGGGCUACACACGUACUACAAUGGUGCAGACAGAGGGAAGCUAAGUCGCAAGGCGGAGCCAAUCCCUUAAACUGUAUCUCAGUUCGGAUUGGGGUCUGCAACUCGACCCCAUGAAGUCGGAAUCGCUAGUAAUCGCGGAUCAGCAUGCCGCGGUGAAUAAAAAGGCCGGGCCUUGCACUCACCGCCCGUCA
rnacentral:rRNA from 1 species